rnacentral:rRNA from 1 species
GACGAACGCUGGCGGCGUGCUUAACACAUGCAAGUCGAACGAAGUGGCGAACGGGUGAGUAACGCGUAAUCAACCUGCCCUUCAGAGGGGGACAACAGUUGGAAACGACUGCUAAUACCGCAUACUGAAGGAGGGGAUUGCGUCGGAUUAGCUCGUUGGAGGGGUAACGGCCCACCAAGGCGAUGAUCAGUAGCCGGUCUGAGAGGAUGAACGGCCCCAUUGGGACUGGGACACGGCCCAGACUCCUACGGGAGGCAGCAGGGGGGAAUCUUCCGCAAUGGACGAAAGUCUGACGGAGCAACGCCGCGUUAGUGAUGACGGGCUUCGGGUUGUAAAGCUCUGUUAAGCGGGACGCGGUACCGGAAUAGAAAGCAACGGCUAACUACGUGCCAGCCGCCGCGGUAAUAC